rnacentral:rRNA from 1 species
UGUCUUCUCGCUGCAACGGAAAGUUUAUUGAACCUUAUCACUUAGAGGAAGGAGAAGUCGUAACAAGGUUUCCGUAGGUGAACCUGCGGAAGGAUCAUUC